CUACGGGUGGCAGCAGUGAGGAAUUUUGCGCAAUGGGGGGAACCCUGACGCAGCAACGCCGUGUGAGUGAAGAAGGCCUUUGGGUCGUAAAGCUCUGUCAACUGGGAAGAAGUUAGUAUUUUUUAAUAGAGGAUACUAUUGACGGUACCAGUGGAGGAAGCGUCGGCUAACUCCGUGCCAGCAGCCGCGGUAACACGGGGGACGCAAGCGUUAUUCGGAAUUAUUGGGCGUAAAGGGCGCGUAGGCGGUCUUGUCGGUCAGGUGUGAAAGCCCGGGGCUCAACCCCGGACGUGCACUUGAACAGCAAGACUUGAGUACGGGAGAGGAAAGCGGAAUUUCUGGUGUAGAGGUGAAAUUCGUAGAUAUCAGGAGGAACACCGAUGGCGAAGGCAGCUUUCUGGACCGAAACUGACGCUGAGGCGCGAAGGCGUGGGUAGCGAACGGGAUUAGAUACCCUAGUAGUC
rnacentral:rRNA from 1 species